rnacentral:rRNA from 1 species
CCUACGGGUGGCUGCAGUGGGGAAUAUUGCACAAUGGGGGAAACCCUGAUGCAGCAACGCCGCGUGAGUGAAGAAGUAUUUCGGUAUGUAAAGCUCUAUCAGCAGGGAAGAAAAUGACGGUACCUGAGUAAGAAGCCACGGCUAACUACGUGCCAGCAGCCGCGGGAAUACGUAGGGGGCAAGCGUUAUCCGGAUUUACUGGGUGUAAAGGGAGCGUAGACGGCGAUACAAGUCUGAAGUGAAAGCCCGGGGCUCAACCCCGGGUCUGCUUUGGAAACUGUGUUGCUGGAGUGCUGGAGAGGCAAGCGGAAUGUGUAGUGUAGCGGUGAAAUGCGUAGAUAUUAGGAAGAACACCAGGGGCGAAGGCGGCUUGCUGGACAGUAACUGACGUUGAGGCUCGAAAGCGUGGGGAGCAAACAGGAUUAGAUACCCCAGUAGUC